GAUGAACGCUGGCGGCGUGCCUAAUACAUGCAAGUCGAGCGAACGGACGAGAAGCUUGCUUUUCUGAUGUUAGCGGCGGACGGGUGAGUAACACGUGGAUAACCUACCUAUAAGACUGGGAUAACUUCGGGAAACCGGAGCUAAUACCGGAUAAUAUUUUGAACCGCAUGGUUCAAAAGUGAAAGACGGUCUUGCUGUCACUUAUAGAUGGAUCCGCGCUGCAUUAGCUAGUUGGUAAGGUAACGGCUUACCAAGGCAACGAUGCAUAGCCGACCUGAGAGGGUGAUCGGCCACACUGGAACUGAGACACGGUCCAGACUCCUACGGGAGGCAGCAGUAGGGAAUCUUCCGCAGUGGGCGAAAGCCUGACGGAGCAACGCCGCGUGAGUGAUGAAGGUCUUCGGAUCGUAAAACUCUGUUAUUAGGGAAGAACAUAUGUGUAAGUAACUGUGCACAUCUUGACGGUACCUAUCAGAAAGCCACGGCUAACUACGUG
rnacentral:rRNA from 1 species